rnacentral:rRNA from 1 species
UACGGAGGGUGCAAGCGUUGCUCGGAAUUAUUGGGCGUAAAGGGUAGGUAGGUGGUCUUAUUUGUCUGGGGUGAAAGCCUUGAGCUUAACUCAAGAAGUGCCUCAGAAACGGUGAGACUAGAGUCCUGGAGAGGGUCGUGGAAUUCCCGGUGUAGCGGUGAAAUGCGUAGAGAUCGGGAGGAACACCAGAGGCGAAGGCGGCGACCUGGACAGGCACUGACACUCAACUACGAAAGCGUGGGGAGCAAACAGGAUU